rnacentral:rRNA from 1 species
CGAACGGGUGAGUAACACGUGGGUAACCUACCUCUUAGCAGGGGAUAACAUUUGGAAACAAGUGCUAAUACCGUAUAAUACCAACAACCGCAUGGUUGUUGGUUGAAAGAUGGUUCUGCUAUCACUAAGAGAUGGACCCGCGGUGCAUUAGCUAGUUGGUAAGGUAACGGCUUACCAAGGCAAUGAUGCAUAGCCGAGUUGAGAGACUGAUCGGCCACAAUGGGACUGAGACACGGCCCAUACUCCUACGGGAGGCAGCAGUAGGGAAUCUUCCACAAUGGGCGCAAGCCUGAUGGAGCAACGCCGCGUGUGUGAUGAAGGGUUUCGGCUCGUAAAACACUGUUAUAAGAGAAGAACGGCACUGAGAGUAACUGUUCAGUGUGUGACGGUAUCUUACCAGAAAGGAACGGCUAAAUACGUGCCAGCAGCCGCGGUAAUACGUAUGUUCCAAGCGUUAUCCGGAUUUAUUGGGCGUAAAGCGAGCGCAGACGGUUAUUUAAGUCUGAAGUGAAAGCCCUCAGCUCAACUGAGGAAUGGCUUUGGAAACUGGAUGACUUGAGUGCAGUAGAGGAAAGUGGAACUCCAUGUGUAGCGGUGAAAUGCGUAGAUAUAUGGAAGAACACCAGUGGCGAAGGCGGCUUUCUGGACUGUAACUGACGUUGAGGCUCGAAA